rnacentral:rRNA from 1 species
GAUAGGAAUUCCUGGUGUAGCGGUGGAAUGCGCAGAUAUCAGGAGGAACACCGAUGGCGAAGGCAGAUCUCUGGGCCGUAACUGACGCUGAGGAGCGAAAGGGUGGGGAGCAAACAGGCUUAGAUACCCUGGUAGUCCACCCCGUAAACGUUGGGAACUAGUUGUGGGGACCAUUCCACGGUUUCCGUGACGCAGCUAACGCAUUAAGUUCCCCGCCUGGGGAGUACGGCCGCAAGGCUAAAACUCAAAGGAAUUGACGGGGACCCGCACAAGCGGCGGAGCAUGCGGAUUAAUUCGAUGCAACGCGAAGAACCUUACCAAGGCUUGACAUACACCAGAACGGGCCAGAAAUGGUCAACUCUUUGGACACUGGUGAACAGGUGGUGCAUGGUUGUCGUCAGCUCGUGUCGUGAGAUGUUGGGUUAAGUCCCGCAACGAGCGCAACCCUCGUUCUAUGUUGCCAGCACGUAAUGGUGGGAACUCAUGGGAUACUGCCGGGGUCAACUCGGAGGAAGGUGGGGAUGACGUCAAAUCAUCAUGCCCCUUAUGUCUUGGGCUUCACGCAUGCUACAAUGGCCGGUACAAAGGGCUGCAAUACCGUGAGGUGGAGCGAAUCCCAAAAAGCCGGUCCCAGUUCGGAUUGAGGUCUGCAACUCGACCUCAUGAAGUCGGAGUCGCUAGUAAUCGCAGAUCAGCAACGCUGC